AUUCCUGGCAACAUGGAUAAACCUGUAGGAUAUUAUAUUAAGCGAGAUAGGUCAGGCACAGAAAGAUAAAUACUGCAUGUUCUCACUCAUAUGGGAGAACUAAAUAAAAUUUGAGCUCAUGGAAGUAGUGAGUAGAAUUAUGCAGAUUUUAUUGUAUCAAUCAUUCAAAGACAGCUUGUUGGACUUUGAAGACCCAAGCAGACAAAAGUACACCAGGGAGAAGUACACCUAAUUAACAAGGUAGUAUUGAAGAUGGAAUGACUACGUAAACAUAUAUGAGUCACUCAAUAAAUAGUAGCUUUUAUUUUUGUUAUUGUACAAUUUCAUCCAGCAGGUAAGUGGUAUAUGUUGGAUUAAAAUUCAGGUUUGUCAGAUUCAAAAUAUCGGCAUUUUCUACUGUACCACAAAGAUCAAUUAAAUGUUGUUAAAAUACAUUAUGGUAUGCCAUUAUAUAAUUUAUUUGUUAAUUCAUAUCAAAUCUUUAUGGUAAGUCUAACAUUUUAAUGGGUAUUUUAGAUCAGGCAGAAAUCAAAUUUGAAUUAUAAAUUACCUCUUUGCAAUUUCAGUUCUGCAUAUUAUAAAUCUAUGAAAUAUAAAUUCAUGUGACAAAUAACACAAAUAUGCAUAUAGAAAGAUAAAAUACAACUUCUACAUAAUUAAAUGUUCUACAUAAUCAUGUCAAUUUCAAAUAUAUUAAUCACCUUGUUAAUUUUAUAGAUUUAAAUUAUCAAUCUUGCUAAAGGUUUAAAAAAUAAUUCAAACAAGUAUAUUUGAGCUCAAUCUAUGUGCAAGGCAAUAUGCUCAGUACCAAGAUUCAUCAAUAAUCAGUUGGAAUAGGGUAUCAAUGGAAGGAAUUAAGAACUCAAUGAAGGAGACAGAUCAUUAGACAAGCAACAUCAUCAAAUUGCUAUCAACAAAAUAGUCUAAUGGUCUGAGACAUGUAGCAAGGACAUUUAGUCCAAUCCAGGAAACAAAAUCUAAGCUAAAAUGAUAAAACGGAAUCACCUGGGAAAAUUGCCAAAGGAAAAAUGUUCCAGGAGAGAGCAUCUACAUCUAAAGAUUUUGAGGUGAAUGUGACGCUGGAUGCCUUUAAGGAAGUAAGAGAAGUGGAGCUUUCUCAUCAAAGAGGGAAAAGGAAUUACAAUUAAAGAUAAGCACUCCAUUUAGGAAGAGAUUAUAUCAAGAAGGAGCAGCCAUUCUCAGUAAAGGAGCUCAUAUUUUAUUCGAGAGCAAUGAAGAGCCUCUUGAAGAUUUCACAUGGAUGGUUAACAAAAUAAAUAAAUAAAUAAAUCCUCACUUAACUUUGUCCAUAGGUUCUUGGAAACUGCGACUUCAAAACAACAUAUGACAAAAUCAAUUUUGUUCUCUCUUCAAUGUUAUAAUGAAAAGACAGAGAAGGAAAAGAUGUUGAGGACCAACAUGUUGUGUGUCGUUUUGCUUAAAGUCACAAUUUUGAAGAACCUGUCAACUACAUUGAGAACUCACUAUAAUUUAAUAGCAUUAGUCUAGUUUCAAGGUGAGGAACAUAUUGGUGAGUGCAAUUAAAAGAAUUGAGACACUUGUGGAGGAGAAAACAACUCUAAUGUAGUGAAACAAUAAUGAAGACCAAUUAGUACAGAGGCAAUACAAAUAUAACACUCGUGAAGUCCAUAAAUAUUGAAAUGGUAGAAUUACUACAUCUCCAAGGCUGUUGGCCUAAAGAAAGAGAAGAAAAUCCAGGAAGACCAGUUGGAGCAGUAAGACGGCAAGGAAGAGGGGAGAAGUCUGAUUCACUUGUGCAUACGCUCAGUUUAAGGUCUAUCUGAGUGAUUUUCUAGCACAAGUGUUCAGAAAUCACAAGAGAGAAAGUGAGGUUUUAGAGAAAGAUAUGAAUCACUAGGCAAUAUUGAAAUACUUUUGUACCUGUAAAUCACAAAUUUACAGUAGUAGCAACUUGCACAGGUGUAUUAUUUUCCCAGCAGCUUAGUUGAAAAGGAUACACUAAAGAUUAAAUAGCAAAUGAGUUAAACACAGUCACAAAUUUAUUUCCACAUGUAAAUGCGAGGAAACAAAUUACAUUUGCUUUGAAGCAAAAUUAGGCCUAUGUGACAUUUUUAGACCGACUGCAGAUGUGAGCCCACAUUAUUGUGGGGCUAAUCCCAUGGUUCUUAGAGCACGCUGGGUCUCUAAUUAUUGUGGAUUUAUGUUUUCAAAGAGAAAGUGGCUUGAUGCAUUGCAUUUCUGCCUUGUGAAAAUUUAAAUAAAUGAAAAUAGCAGCAAAGGAAAAAAAAACACUAACAGAAAAACAUCUAUGAAGUCACUGUAUAUCUAUACAUGCUGAAUACAAAAUGCUUUGGAUUUUAUUGGGAACUAGAGUAAUAUAAACAUUAUAAAUUUGAAAAAGGUGAUGUAAUUUUGACCCCAAAGGUAUGAUGUUAUGUGUCUCAGUUUUUCAUUUAUAAAGACAUUCUUCAAACCCUGUCAAAAUAGCAAGCCAAAUGGCAUUCUCCUCAAUUCUAAACACACAUAUUGAUUAAAAUCAGGAAGUAAUUUUAUCCCAGGUGAUAUUACCAUUAACAUCUGAUAAAUUCUUGAGCCAAGAAGUCCAGAAACCCAGAACUACGAUGGAGCCAUUGACAGCAUUUCACAUAAUUACAACCAUAAAAUCACUUGACAGGCUACGUUACCAGAAAAAUAUUUCACAGGAAAAUAUGUGUAAUUUCAGAACUGUAUGAACUGUAUCACUUUUAUAGUAGCUUUGUAGUUAGGUUAUUCUAACAAUAAAGUCCAACUUAAAUUCAGUAGUUAAGAAAACAUGAACAAUAUUUCUUCUUUCACAAACAGCUGUCAUCUUAAAUUACAUCUUUUAAAAAAACACGGUAAUAAGUUUAAACAAAUAAGUUUUAUAUAAGCCAAAAAAUAAUUUGAAUAGAACAUGCUCAUUAUAAUAGUUGCCAUAUAAUAGGCAUUCAAUUAAAGAUAGUUGAGUAGAGAUUGGAGAUGAUGGAUGUAAUUUAUUUCUAUUUGCACUCAAUAGACAGUAUUAUGAACUGUGGAAGCCUUUAAUAAGCUUGUAGUUGAUUCUAUAUACCUGAUAUUUUUCAUGUUUCACUUCUUUAAGAACUAUGGCCUCCACAAUAAGCAGCUUUUUAUUUGUAUAAAUUAUACAUUGUACUUUCAAAACAUAUACAAAGAGGAAAGUUAGAAAUAGAAGAGAUAAAAUUAACAGAUAUAAAAGUUCUCAUAGUUUAUGCCUGUGCUCUAGAAAGUAAGCAACAAAUUUUACCUACCACAGAUUGGACUAAAAUUAUAGGAGUGAAAAUGUGUGUUUCAGAAAUGCUACCAGCAGUGUGAAUGAUGAACAUUUUAGCAAGGAUACUAGAAAAGGGAAAAAAAUGGUAAAUUUUAAAAUAAAACUGAGAGUACUAGAGAAGAGACAGCUGAUUUAUUCAUAUUUUUUAAGGGAGUAGUGACUGACUUUAUCGAUUAUGCUCCUACUAUUGGGAGACACCAGUCCUUCUUUAGUACACUGUCGUGAUUAUGACAAUGAUCCUGUGAGGUACAUAGUCACGGCCCCAUUUUAAAAAUGAGAAAACUUAAGUCACCAUAGUGUCC